UACGAAGGGGGCUAGCGUUGCUCGGAAUGACUGGGCGUAAAGGGCUCGUAGGCGGUUUGUCGCGUCGGGAGUGAAAACUCAGGGCUUAACCCUGAGCCUGCUUCCGAUACGGGCAGACUAGAGGUAUGCAGGGGAGAACGGAAUUCCUGGUGUAGCGGUGAAAUGCGCAGAUAUCAGGAGGAACACCGGCGGCGAAGGCGGUUCUCUGGGCAUUACCUGACGCUGAGGAGCGAAAGUGUGGGGAGCGAACAGG
rnacentral:rRNA from 1 species